AGUAACGCGAGUGAACGGAGAAUGGCCCAGCCCCGAAGCCUAUCCAUGCUUGUGGACAGGGCAAUGUGGUGUUUAGGCGCGUGCCUGGGGUCGCACGUCUACUCGAAGUCCACUCCGAUUGUGGCAUUGGAACUCUCCCAAAGAGGGUGAAAGGCCCGUACGAGUAGACAUAAAGCAUCCAGUGCGACUCUCAGAUGCAUACGCCUUGGAGUCGGAUUGCUUGAGAAUGCAGUCCAAAGUGGGUGGUAAACUCCAUCCAAGGCUAAAUACCAGCACGAGUCCGAUAGCGAACAAGUACCGUGAGGGAAAGUUGAAAAGUACUCUGAAGAGAGAGUAAAUAGUACGUGAAGCCGCCUGUAGAGAAGCUGGUGGAGUCAAGCUUUGUGCCCGGCUGAUUAAGCGGGAGAGAUUUCGAGGUCUGUCUAGCCGACUGGCAGCUUUGCCUGGAAAUGGCGGGUCGUGUCAACGACUCAAGCUAUCUGGGAAGUUUGCUUGUGCUGUCCAUUUCGGCUUACCUCUCUCGUCCUAUCACCGGGCUUGCAUCACGGCUGAUAGCCUCUUGGUGCGUGAGUGUCUAACCGUAGCCAUGUGAGCAAUUGCUUGCUGGACGCGGGAUGGCAGGUUGUUGUAUGGACCUUGUGUUUGUGCAACUUAUAGUGGUUUUCCAGCCGGCACUCACGCAAUCGUUACUAUUGAGGUCUAUCAGUGCUCUGUCAAUCGUCGCCAUCGCCUGGUCGCGGUUGUGAGAGCCGUGGUGUUGAAGUAGACCUUCCACCCGACCCGUCUUGAAACACGGACCAAGGAGUUUAACAUGCGCGCGAGUCAAUGGGUGUGUGUAAAUCCCGAUGGCGCAAUGAAAGUGAAUGGUCAGUCUGUGGCCUUAGGUGUGAUCUUGGAUUGUCUUAGACAGGCGUCCAGGCGCAACACCGGCCCGUCCCAUUAUGUAGUCAUUCGAUCCACGGAUCGCAUGCAACAUGGGGGCGGAGCAAGAGCGUGCAUGUUGAGACCCGAAAGAUGGUGAACUAUGCUUGCGUAGGUCGAAGCCAGAGGAAACUCUGGUGGAGGACCGUCGCGGUUUUGACGUGCAAAUCGAUCGUCAAACGUGAGCAUAGGGGCGAAAGACUAAUCGAACCAUCUAGUAGCUGGUUCCCUCCGAAGUUUCCCUCAGGAUAGCUGGCAAUCAUUUCGCUGAACAGUUUUAUCCGAUAAAGCGAAUGAUUAGAGGUAUUGGGGCCUAAUUGUCCUCAACCUAUUCUCAAACUAUAAAUGGGUACGAUGCUUGACUCGCUUAAUUGGAGUUAAGCAUUGAAUGUGAUUGCCAGGUGGGCCAUUUUUGGUAAGCAGAACUGGCGCUGUGGGAUGCUCCGAACGUGCAGUUAAGGUGCCAUA
rnacentral:rRNA from 1 species